rnacentral:rRNA from 1 species
CCUACGGGCGGCAGCAGUGGGGGAUAUUGCACAAUGGGGGGAACCCUGAUGCAGCGACGCCGCGUGGGUGAAGAAGCGCCUCGGCGCGUAAAGCCCUGUCAGCAGGGAAGAAAAUGACGGUACCUGAAGAAGAAGCCCCGGCUAACUACGUGCCAGCAGCCGCGGUAAUACGUAGGGGGCAAGCGUUAUCCGGAUUUACUGGGUGUAAAGGGGGCGCAGACGGCGAUGCAAGCCAGGAGUGAAAGCCCGGGGCCCAACCCCGGGACUGCUCUUGGAACUGCGUGGCUAGAGUGCAGGAGGGGCAGGCGGAAUUCCUGGUGUAGUGGUGAAAUGCGUAGAUAUCAGGAGGAACACCGGUGGCGAAGGCGGCCUGCUGGACUGCAACUGACGUUGAGGCCCGAAAGCGUGGGGAGCAAACAGGAUUAGAUACCCCAGUAGUC